UACAGAGGGUGCGAGCGUUUAAUCGGAAUUACUGGGCGUAAAGCGUGCGUAGACGGUUAUUUAAGUCGGGUGUGAAAGCCCCGGGCUCAACCUGGGAAUUGCAUUCGAGACUGAAUAGCUAGGGUACGGUAGAGGGAAGUGGAAUUUCCGGUGUAGCGGUGAAAUGCGUAGAUAUCGGAAGGAACAUCAGUGGCGAAAGCGACUUCCUGGACCAGUACCGACGUUCAGGCACGAAAGCGUGGGGAGCAAACGGG
rnacentral:rRNA from 1 species